UUCUGUAAUUUGUUUAUUUCAGGAUUCCCCUAUAAGAAAAAAAUGUUUUGAAAUUACUCAUAACGCCAAACAUAAGAUUCCAAGCCAGUUAAGGAGUAUUUUACUGUAACGCAAGUGUAAUUAAAAGUAAAAACUUUUGAGACAAUGAAGUCGACACAUCUAAUUAUUAUUUUUCUGAUGCUUAUGAUUUUACAUGAAGGAUUAUAUGAAGUAAUGGCAGAGGACAGUGAUGAAACCAGCGUAAGAGUGAUUGUAAAACGAAGCCUUUUUACGUCUAAAAGAACGAGAUCACGGCGCUAUGGAAUAUACAACUCUGGAUCUUGGAGAGGAAAACGUCCCAGAUCUACAGGAAAAUAAAAUUUUCGUCAAUUAUGCUCUGUAAUUCUCCUCAACAAAGUAAUACGUUAUGACAAAAACUCGUGUUAAUUAUAAAACAUUUGUCAAUUUCAAUAUUCUGAUUUUCAUUUUCUGAGCGUCAACUAUAUCAAUGACCAUUGUUACUGUUACUUGCUGUUAUUGUAAUAAAUUUUGAGGUUU